rnacentral:rRNA from 1 species
GAGUGGCGGACGGGUGAGUAACGCGUGGGUAACCUACCUUGUACAGGGGGACAACAGUUGGAAACGACUGCUAAUACCGCAUAAGCGCACAGCUUCGCAUGAAGCAGUGUGAAAAGUUAUUUCGGUACAAGAUGGACCCGCGUCUGAUUAGCUAGUUGGUGAGGUAAUGGCCCACCAAGGCGACGAUCAGUAGCCGACCUGAGAGGGUGACCGGCCACAUUGGGACUGAGACACGGCCCAAACUCCUACGGGAGGCAGCAGUGGGGAAUAUUGCACAAUGGGCGCAAGGCCUGAUGCAGCGAACCGCCGCGUGAGCGAAGAAGUAUUUCGGUAUGUAAAGCUCUAUCAGCAGGGAAGACAAUGACGGUACCUGACUAAGAAGCACCGGCUAAAUACGUGCCAGCAGCUGC